AACGAACGCUGGCGGCAGGCUUAACACAUGCAAGUCGAACGCAUCGCAAGAUGAGUGGCAGACGGGUGAGUAACGCGUGGGAACAUACCCUUUUCUACGGAAUAGCUCUGGGAAACUGGAAUUAAUACCGUAUACGCCCUACGGGGGAAAGAUUUAUCGGGGAAGGAUUGGCCCGCGUUGGAUUAGCUAGUUGGUGGGGUAAAGGCCUACCAAGGCGACGAUCCAUAGCUGGUCUGAGAGGAUGAUCAGCCACAUUGGGACUGGGACACGGCCCAAACUCCUACGGGAGGCAGCAGUGGGGAAUAUUGGACAAUGGGCGCAAGCCUGAUCCAGCCAUGCCGCGUGAGUGAUGAAGGCCUUAGGGUUAUAAAGCUCUUUCACCGAUGAAGAUAAUGACGGUAGUCGGAGAAGAAGCCCCGGCUAACUUCGUGCCAGCAGCCGCCGUAACAC
rnacentral:rRNA from 1 species